rnacentral:pre_miRNA from 10 species
UGGCUGCUCAGUAGUCGGUGUAGGAUCUGUCUGACAGUCUCGCUAACAGCUACAUCUGAUUACUGGGUCACCA